rnacentral:tRNA from 1 species
GCCUUCAUGGUGUAGUGGUCAGCACGCUCGACACGUAUUCGAAAGGUUCGUGGUUCGAAUUCCGGCAAGGGCA